UACAGAGGAUGCAAGCGUUAUCCGGAAUGAUUGGGCGUAAAGCGUCUGUAGGUGGCUUUUUAAGUCCGCCGUCAAAUCCCAGGGCUCAACUCUGGACAGGCGGUGGAAACUACCAAGCUGGAGUACGGUAGGGGCAGAGGGAAUUUCCGGUGGAGCGGUGAAAUGCGUAGAGAUUGGGAAGAACAUCGGUGGCGAAAGCGCUCUACUGGACCUCAUCUGACACUCAGGGACGAAAGCUAGGGGAGCGAAUGGG
rnacentral:rRNA from 1 species